GGGUCGGCAUGGCAUCUCCACCUCCUCGCGGUC
rnacentral:misc_RNA from 1 species